AUUGAACGCUGGCGGCAGGCUUAACACAUGCAAGUCGAGCGGGGAAGGUUGCUUUGGUAACUGACCUAGCGGCGGACGGGUGAGUAAUGCUUAGGAAUCUGCCUAUUAGUGGGGGACAACAUUCCGAAAGGAAUGCUAAUACCGCAUACGCCCUACCGGGGAAAGCAGGGGAUCUUCGGACCUUGCGCUAAUAGAUGAGCCUAAGUCGGAUUAGCUAGUUGGUGGGGUAAAGGCCUACCAAGGCGACGAUCUGUAGCGGGUCUGAGAGGAUGAUCCGCCACACUGGGACUGAGACACGGCCCAGACUCCUACGGGAGGCAGCAGUGGGGAAUAUUGGACAAUGGGCGCAAGCCUGAUCCAGCCAUGCCGCGUGUGUGAAGAAGGCCUUUUGGUUGUAAAGCACUUUAAGCGAGGAGGAGGCUCCUUUAGUUAAUACCUAAAGAGAGUGGACGUUACUCGCAGAAUAAGCACCGGCUAACUCUGUGCCAGCAGCCGCGGUAAAAC
rnacentral:rRNA from 1 species